GCCAUUCUAGUGCGUAAGCAACUCUCCUGGAGGACACUUUUGACCUACAGGGCAGAGUCAAUGGAUAAAUAGCCCCCUCUUCUGUCCCUUGGGUGGAUAAUGCUGAACCUUCACCCUCAGAAGGUCUCAAAAGCCAAGGGGAGGCCCAGUUGCCCACUGUGUGAGCAAUAUGAGAAUGACCCAAUGGACUGACUCUCUUUACAUCCCAAUUCCAUUCUUCCCAGUCCCUGGCCUCUGUGUCUUGCAAAAUUUUCCCCCAAAUGAAUGACGUGUAUGUAAGUGUUUGUCUCAGGCUCUGUUUUUCCUACAGAACCUACAGUAAGACAGUUGAUAUCUAGAAACAACUCUAAAAAGCAGACUCUCAGCAAGGUAUUCAAGAACUCCAUCAUUUGAUUUCUACCUGACAAUUGGCUUUGUCACACAGCCCACAAGAUACAGCAGACCUGCUGAUGCCAGAGGUGUCCAUGGUGAUUGGAUGCCAUUCCCAACAGAAAAGUCAUGGCAGAGACAGCAAGGAGUUUAGGGCAAGUCUGGGUCUUAUGCGGCAGAAAAUUACUCACUUUUAGCAAAGCAGCUUCUAGCCUACUGAAGACCGGGCUUCUACCGUGGGACAGUAUAGAGCACCCAACCAACAGAAGAGAGAAAGCCUCGGGCCUGCAACGGAGAUGGGUCAGACUUGUGCGUUCAUACUAGAUAACAAUACUCUGUGGUCCCAAAGAAGGCCCUGAAAUGGUGGUGAGAGUCACUGCUUUUCUCCAAACCAAGUGAGCUCCUCUUGGAUAAUUUGCCUUCUGAUAAAAUCAGUUCACCUUCCACGGGCCUCUUGCAGCCAAUUAUGCUUUUUUUUUUUUUUUUUAACACUCCAAAUUAAAAUUUUUCAA